UACGGGAGGCAGCAGUGGGGAAUAUUGCACAAUGGGCGCAAGCCUGAUGCAGCCAUGCCGCGUGUAUGAAGAAGGCCUUCGGGUUGUAAAGUACUUUCAGUCGUGAGGAAGGUGUUAAGGUUAAUAACCUUAGCAAUUGACGUUAGCGACAGGAGAAGCACCGGCUAACUCCGUGCCAGCAGCCGCGGUAAUACGGGAGGGGUGCGAGCGUUUAAAUCGGAAUUACUGGGCGUAAAGGGCACGCAGGCGGUUAAUUAAGUUGGAUGUGAAAUCCCCGGGCUUAACCUGGGAAUGGCAUUCAAGACUGGUUAGCUAGAGUCUUGUAGAGGGGGUAGAAUUCCAUGUGUAGCGGUGAAAUGCGUAGAGAUGUGGAGGAAUACCGGUGGCGAAGGCGGCCCCUGGACAAAGGACUGACGCUCAUGUGCGAAAGCGUGGGGAGCAAACAGGGAUUAGAUACC
rnacentral:rRNA from 1 species